rnacentral:rRNA from 1 species
UACGUAGGAGGCAAGCGUUGUCCGGAAUUACUGGGCGUAAAGCGCGUGUAGGUGGUGGGACAAGUCUGCUGUGAAAGCGCCUGGCUUAACCGGGCGAGGUCGGCGGAAACUGUCCGACUAGAGGACGGUAGAGGGGGGUGGAAUUCCCGGUGUAGUGGUGAAAUGCGUAGAGAUCGGGAGGAACACCUGUGGCGAAGGCGGCCCCCUGGGCCGGCCCUGACACUGAGACGCGAAGGCGUGGGGGAGCGAACGGGG